rnacentral:rRNA from 1 species
AGCAGCCGCGGUAAUUCCAGCUCCAAUAGCGUAUAUUAAAGUUGCUGCAGUUAAAAAGCUCGUAGUUGAAUUUCGGGACCAUCAUGUCGGUCGUGCCUCAGUACGUACUGGCAUUGUUGGUUUCUCCCUUCUGACGAACCAUGAUGUCAUUAAUUUGAUGUCAUGGGGAAUCAGGACUGUUACUUUAGAAAAAUUAGAGUGUUUAAAGCAGGCUCGCGCUUGAAUACAUUAGCAUGGAAUAAUGAAAUAGGACAUUUGAUUCUAUUUUGUUGGUUUCUAGGAUCGAUGUAAUGAUUAAUAGGGAUAGUUGGGGGCAUUAGUAUUCAAUUGUCAGAGGUGAAAUUCUUGGAUUUAUUGAAGACUAACUACUGCGAAAGCAUUUGCCAAGGAUGUCUUCAUUAAUCAAGAACGAAAGUUAGGGAUCGAAGACGA